ACUGGGUGCAGUGGCACGUAUCUGUAGUCUCAGCUAUUCAGGAGGCUGAGGCUGGAGGAUCACUUGAGUCCAGGAGUUCUGGGGCUGUGGCACGCUAUGCUGAUCGGGUGUCUGCACUAAGUUCGGCAUCAAUAUGGUGACCUCCUGGGAGCGGGGGACCACCAGGUUGCUUAAGGAUCAGCGAACCAGCCCAGGUUGGAAACGGAGCAGGUCAAAACUCUCGUGCUGAUCAGUAGUGGGACUGUGCCUGUGAAUAGCCACUGCACUCCAGCCUGGGCAACAUAGCGAGACCCUGUCUCUA
ensembl:misc_RNA Metazoa_SRP Metazoan signal recognition particle RNA